UAUAAGCAGAUGUCAAGAAGAAAUGAAAGGAGGUAGAAUCUUGGGUUGGCUGACCCGGAAGGACUCCUGAUAACAUCGCGUCCCGUCAUCUUACAGCUGGAGACACUGAAGCCCCAAGAACUUAGCCAUUGCAGACCCGGGAAACCAAUACAGCCACUCUGAGAGCAUCUUCUCCAUUCAGUUCAUGCUGUCAUCUUCCAUGAAGGCAGCUUAGGAGUCAAAUGGACUUGAUCUUGGUUCAGUCAUUUGGUGUUAGGAGAUAAGGAUUACUGCCUCCGUUGGACAACUGAGAAAACUAAGCCUCAGAGAGGAGUGUGUGGCUACUAACUGGCAGAGCUGGGACUGGGUUGAAAUACUAGUCCUUCCCCAGCACAAAGUAGACAAUGC